GAUGAAGAACGUAGCGAAAUGCGAUAAGUAAUGCGAAUUGCAGAAUUUCCGUGAGUCAUCGAAUCUUUGAACGCACAUUGCGCCCCUUGGUAUUCCGGGGGGCAUGCCUGUUCGAGCGUCAUUUCAACCCUCAAGCUCUGCUUGGUCUUGGGCCGCGCCGGCGACGGCGGGCCUCAAAAACAGUGGCGGCGCCAUCUGGUUCCUCAGCGUAGUAAUUCUUCUCGCUGUUGGGCCCGGGUGGCCGCUGGCCAGCAACCCCAAAUUUUCUAUGGUUGACCUCGGAUCAGGUAGGGAUACCCGCUGAACUUAAGCAUAUCAAUAAGCGGAGGA
rnacentral:misc_RNA from 1 species